AUGGCUCAGUGAGGCCUUGGGAUUGGCCAGGGGAGAUGGGCAACCAUCACCCCAGGCCGAAAACUUGGUCAAACUUGGUCAUUUAGAGGAAGUAAAAGUCGUAACAAGGUUUCCGUAGGUGAACCUGCGGAAGGAUCAUUACCGAGUUAGGGUUCUCUCCUGAGGCCCGACCUCCCAACCCUGUGUCUAACAAACCUGUGUGUGUUGCUUCGGUGGACCGGCAGUCCCCUCACGGGGGUCCGUCGCCGGGGGGAGAAACGGCCUCACGGCCCGCCCCUGGAGAGUGUCCGCCGAUGGCCCAACCAACAUAACAACUCCCAAACCCAAAAUAUUGUACGUAAAACUUCUGAAUCAGACCUUUUUUGAUGGACCAAAUCAAAAAUAAAACUUUCAACAACGGAUCUCUUGGUUCUGGCAUCGAUGAAGAACGCAGCGAAAUGCGAUAAGUAAUGCGAAUUGCAGAAUUUCCGUGAGUCAUCGAAUCUUUGAACGCACAUUGCGCCCUUUGGCAUUCCGAAGGGCAUGCCUGUUCGAGCGUCAUUAUCCUCUCUCAAACCUCGGGUUUGGUGUUGGACCGCGUUGGACCUGCCCAUGGCCAACUGGUCUCAAAGACAAUGACGGCGUCCCCGGGACCCUCUUCGCACUGAGCUUUUUGGAAGCACGCGUCGAGUUUCACGGGCCCAGGGACCCGGUCACCCCUAAAAACUUUUCAAGGUUGACCUCGGAUCAGGUAGGAAUACCCGCUGAACUUAAGCAUAUCAAUAAGCGGAGGAAAAGAAACCAACAGGGAUUGCCUCAGUAACGGCGAGUGAAGCGGCAACAGCUCAAAUUUGAAAUCUGGCCUCACGGUCCGAGUUGUAAUUUGUAGAGGAUGUUUUGGGCACCGCUCCGGGUUAAAUUUCUUGGAACAGAAUGUCAAAGAGGGUGAGAGUCCCGUCUUGGCCCGCGGUAGGACCUAUGUAAAACUCCUUCGACGAGUCGACUUGUUUGGGAAUGCAGGUCAAAAUGGGUGGUAAAUUUCAUCUAAAGCUAAAUAUUGGCCAGAGACCGAUAGCGCACAAGUAGAGUGAUCGAAAGAUGAAAAGCACUUUGAAAAGAGAGUUAAACAGUAUGUGAAAUUGUUGAAAGGGAAGCGCUGGCGACCAGACUCGAGCGCGGUGUUCCCCCUGGCUUCUGCCUGGGUUACUUCACCGUGACCGGGCCAUCAUCAGUUUUGGGGGUUGGUUAAAGAUUUGGGGAAUGUAUCCUCUCCUUCGGGGGAGGACUUAUAGCCCUGGAUGUCAUGCAGCCUCCCGGGACUGAGGAACGCGCUUCGGCGAGGAUGAUGGCGUAAUGGUUGUCAGCGACCCGUCUUGAAACACGGACCAAGGAGUCUAACAUCUAUGCGAGUGUUCGGGUGUCAAACCCUUGCGCGGAAUGAAAGUGAACGGAGGUAGGAAGGCUUGAGCCUGCACUAUCGACCGAUCCUGAUGUCUUCGGAUGGAUUUGAGUAAGAGCAUAGCUGUUGGGACCCGAAAGAUGGUGAACUAUGCGUGAAUAGGGUGAAGCCAGAGGAAACUCUGGUGGAGGCUCGCAGCGGUUCUGACGUGCAAAUCGAUCGUCAAAUUUGCGUAUAGGGGCGAAAGACUAAUCGAACCAUUGGUAAUCACUACUAGGUGGUUAAGAGUCGCGUGUGAAAAGCACCGGCUAGUCGCGAGUCCGCGGCAAGGUCGUCAAAUUGCGGGAACACCCUAAAGCCUGAGGUACCGCCGACCGGCCCGAAAGGGCGGUGAGGCACCACGGAGAGAUUUCGUGGGUAUGGUAACAAUCCAAGGGAUGGCCUAGGCAAACCCUAGACCGCUGUUAAUGGGCAAUCCGCAGCCAAGCCUGUCCCUCCCCCUCCGGGGGGCGGAGAUUGGGUGCAGUUCAUCGACUAGAUGUCGACCGGGUUCCAGGCCGAUCGAAGCCUGGAGCCUCAAGAUAUAGUCAGGCCCUCGGGGAGACCCGAGCGGAGGAACAAAGUGAAGGGGGUCGGACUCUCCUGUAGAAGCCCGCUUCACCCGAAUUCCUCCUGGCCGGUCUCUCACAAGACCGGUGAUCAA
rnacentral:rRNA from 1 species